UACGAAGGGGGCUAGCGUUGUUCGGAAUCACUGGGCGUAAAGCGUACGUAGGCGGACCAUUAAGUCGGGGGUGAAAUCCCAGGGCUCAACCCUGGAACUGCCUUCGAUACUGGUGGUCUGGAGUCCGGGAGAGGUGAGUGGAACUCCUAGUGUAGAGGUGAAAUUCGUAGAUAUUCGCAAGAACACCAGUGGCGAAGGCGGCUCACUGGCCCGGUACUGACGCUGAGGUGCGAAAGCGUGGGGAGCAAACAGG
rnacentral:rRNA from 1 species